CCAGCAAGUCGACCACGUACGCCCCCUUCUCCUGCAGCUCCGCGGCGUGCGCACAGCUCGGAAACAAUGGCGACGGCUGCUCAAACUCAGGGUGCCAGUACAGGGUCCAGUACGGCGACGGCUCCAACACCACCGGCACCUACGGCUCCGACACGCUGGCGCUAAGCGCCUCCGACACGGUCACGGACUUCCACUUCGGUUGCAGCCAUCACGAGGAGGACUUCGACGGCGAGAAAUUCGACGGGCUCAUGGGGCUCGG
rnacentral:lncRNA from 1 species